GAUGAAGAACGCAGCGAAAUGCGAUAAGUAGUGUGAAUUGCAGAAUUCAGUGAAUCAUCGAAUCUUUGAACGCACAUUGUGCCCCUUGGUAUUCCAUGGGGCAUGCCUGUUCGAGCGUCAUUUACACCCUCAAGCUCAGCUUGGUGUUGGGCGUCUGUCCCGCUUCGUGCGUGGACUCGCCCCAAAGGUAUUGGCAGCGGUCCUUGCCAGCUUCUCGCGCAGCACAUUGCGCUUCUCGAGGCUGGCGGAUCGGCGUCCAUCAAGCCCACUUCCACAGUUUGACCUCGGAUCAGGUAGGGAUACCCGCUGAACUUAAGCAUAUCAAUAAGCGGAGGA
rnacentral:misc_RNA from 1 species